GGGUGUGACUGCGUACCUUUUGUAUAAUGGGUCAGCGACUUAUAUUCUGUAGCAAGGUUAACCGAAUAGGGGAGCCGGAGGGAAACCGAGUCUUAACCGGGCGUUAAGUUGCAGGGUAUAGACCCGAAACCCGGUGAUCUAGCCAUGGGCAGGUUGAAGGUUGGGUAACACUAACUGGAGGACCGAACCGACUAAUGUUGAAAAAUUAGCGGAUGACCUGUGGCUGGGGGUGAAAGGCCAAUCAAACCGGGAGAUAGCUGGUUCUCCCCGAAAGCUAUUUAGGUAGCGCCUCGUGAAUUCAUCUCCGGGGGUAGAGCACUGUUUCGGCUAGGGGGCCAUCCCGGCUUACCAACCCGAUGCAAACUGCGAAUACCGGAGAAUGUUAUCACGGGAGACACACGGCGGGUGCUAACGUCCGUCGUGAAGAGGGAAACAACCCAGACCGCCAGCUAAGGUCCCAAAGUCAUGGUUAAGUGGGAAACGAUGUGGGAAGGCCCAGACAGCCAGGAUGUUGGCUUAGAAGCAGCCAUCAUUUAAAGAAAGCGUAAUAGCUCACUGGUCGAGUCGGCCUGCGCGGAAGAUGUAACGGGGCUAAACCAUGCACCGAAGCUGCGGCAGCGACGCUGAUGCGUUGUUGGGUAGGGGAGCGUUCUGUAAGCCUGCGAAGGUGGCCUGUGAGGGUUGCUGGAGGUAUCAGAAGUGCGAAUGCUGACAUAAGUAACGAUAAAGCGGGUGAAAAGCCCGCUCGCCGGAAGACCAAGGGUUCCUGUCCAACGUUAAUCGGGGCAGGGUGAGUCGACCCCUAAGGCGAGGCCGAAAGGCGUAGUCGAUGGGAAACGGGUUAAUAUUCCCGUACUUGGUGUUACUGCGAAGGGGGGACGGAGAAGGCUAUGUUGGCCGGGCGACGGUUGUCCCGGUUUAAGCGUGUAGGUGUGUGUUCCAGGUAAAUCCGGUUCACUUUAACACUGAGGCGUGAUGACGAGGCACUACGGUGCUGAAGCAACAAAUGCCCUGCUUCCAGGAAAAGCCUCUAAGCAUCAGGUAACAUCAAAUCGUACCCCAAACCGACACAGGUGGUCAGGUAGAGAAUACCAAGGCGCUUGAGAGAACUCGGGUGAAGGAACUAGGCAAAAUGGUGCCGUAACUUCGGGAGAAGGCACGCUGACACGUAGGUGAAGUGAUUUACUCAUGGAGCUGAAGUCAGUCGAAGAUACCAGCUGGCUGCAACUGUUUAUUAAAAACACAGCACUGUGCAAACACGAAAGUGGACGUAUACGGUGUGACGCCUGCCCGGUGCCGGAAGGUUAAUUGAUGGGGUCAGCGCAAGCGAAGCUCCUGAUCGAAGCCCCGGUAAACGGCGGCCGUAACUAUAACGGUCCUAAGGUAGCGAAAUUCCUUGUCGGGUAAGUUCCGACCUGCACGAAUGGCGUAAUGAUGGCCAGGCUGUCUCCACCCGAGACUCAGUGAAAUUGAACUCGCUGUGAAGAUGCAGUGUACCCGCGGCAAGACGGAAAGACCCCGUGAACCUUUACUAUAGCUUGACACUGAACAUUGAGCCUUGAUGUGUAGGAUAGGUGGGAGGCUUUGAAGUGUGGACGCCAGUCUGCAUGGAGCCGACCUUGAAAUACCACCCUUUAAUGUUUGAUGUUCUAACGUGGACCCGUGAUCCGGGUUGCGGACAGUGUCUGGUGGGUAGUUUGACUGGGGCGGUCUCCUCCUAAAGAGUAACGGAGGAGCACGAAGGUUGGCUAAUCCUGGUCGGACAUCAGGAGGUUAGUGCAAUGGCAUAAGCCAGCUUGACUGCGAGCGUGACGGCGCGAGCAGGUGCGAAAGCAGGUCAUAGUGAUCCGGUGGUUCUGAAUGGAAGGGCCAUCGCUCAACGGAUAAAAGGUACUCCGGGGAUAACAGGCUGAUACCGCCCAAGAGUUCAUAUCGACGGCGGUGUUUGGCACCUCGAUGUCGGCUCAUCACAUCCUGGGGCUGAAGUAGGUCCCAAGGGUAUGGCUGUUCGCCAUUUAAAGUGGUACGCGAGCUGGGUUUAGAACGUCGUGAGACAGUUCGGUCCCUAUCUGCCGUGGGCGCUGGAGAACUGAGGGGGGCUGCUCCUAGUACGAGAGGACCGGAGUGGACGCAUCACUGGUGUUCGGGUUGUCAUGCCAAUGGCACUGCCCGGUAGCUAAAUGCGGAAGAGAUAAGUGCUGAAAGCAUCUAAGCACGAAACUUGCCCCGA
rnacentral:rRNA from 1 species